GUCCACGCCGUAAACGUUGGGCACUAGGUGUGGGGUCUUAUCAACGGAUUCCGUGCCGUAGCUAACGCAUUAAGUGCCCCGCCUGGGGAGUACGGCCGCAAGGCUAAAACUCAAAGGAAUUGACGGGGCCCGCACAAGCGGCGGAGCAUGUUGCUUAAUUCGAGGCGACGCGAAGAACCUUACCUGGGUUGAACUACGCAGGAAAAGCCACAGAGAUGUGGUGUCCUUCGGGGCCUGUGAUAGGUGGUGCAUGGCUGUCGU
rnacentral:rRNA from 1 species